rnacentral:rRNA from 1 species
CAGCAGCCGCGGUAAUACGUAGGUGGCAAGCGUUGUCCGGAAUUAUUGGGCGUAAAGGGCUCGCAGGCGGUUUCUUAAGUCUGAUGUGAAAGCCCCCGGCUCAACCGGGGAGGAUCAUUGGAAACUGGGAAACUUGAGUGCAGAAGAGGAGAGUGGAAUUCCACGUGUAGCGGUGAAAUGCGUAGAGAUGUGGAGGAACACCAGUGGCGAAGGCGACUCUCUGGUCUGUAACUGACGCUGAGGAGCGAAAGCGUGGGGAGCGAACAGGAUUAGAUACCCCCGUAGUCCCUGUCUCUUAUAC